GGUGAACGCUGGCGGUGUGCCUAACACAUGCAAGUCGAACGGCAGCACAGUAAGAUCUUGCUCUUACGGGUGGCGAGUGGCGGACGGGUGAGAAAUACAUCACCAUCUACUUUUUCGUGGGUGAUUACGGGGGGAAAGUUACGCUAAUACCGCAUACUAUCUACCGCUGAAUUCAAUGGUUCUACGGGCUUUUCUCGUUUGAAUUAGCCGGUGCCGGAUUAGCUAGUUGGUGAGGUAACGGCUCACCAAGGCAACGAUACGUAGCCGGCCUGAGAGGAUGAUCAGCCACACUGGAACUGAGACACGGUCCAGACUCCUACGGGAGGCAGCAGUAGGGAAUCUUCCGCAAUGGGCGAAAGCCUGACGCAGCAACGCCGCGUGAGUGAUGAAGGUCUUCGGAUCGUAAAGCUCUGUUAUUAGGGAAGAACAAAUGUAUAAGUAACUAUGCACGUCUUGACGGUACCUAAUCAGAAAGCCACGGCUAACUACGUG
rnacentral:rRNA from 1 species